AGGGGCUUCCUGCAUAUAUAUCAUGAUUAUUCCUACCGUUAACAGAUUUUUAAAAAAUAUUCACAACGGUAGGAUGACUUGUCUAAGAUGACACAGCCAGGGAGGCCGACCCGGAGCUCAGGAUGCAUGCCCUAAGAGAGGGCGACAUAAGGGAUCCCGACAGGACAAUGAAGGCCCAGGGCAUGCCUGACUCAGAAUGAGGUCAGACUUCCAGGACAGGCGAAGUUCUGACCCUUAGGAAGCCAGAAACAGGGACCACAGCCAUUCUCCAGAAGACUCACAUCUGGUCCAGUUUGAGGGGCCAGAAACAGCCCUUUCACCCAGAGGCAGGAUUUCCAGACCUCUAAAGAGAGCCGUUGGCAGACAGGGGGCUGGGGGCUUGCCUAGUGCUCCUGGCUCCUGGGAAGUGGGGCCCCAGUCACCCCCUAACAGUGCAAGCCAGGGCACCAGGGCUCCAGCAGGCCUGACUGAGCUGCUCCCGCACGACUGCGACCCGGCCCUCCGAGCAAGCCUGCCCGGGACCCGAGGCUCCAGCGAGGCUCCCUGAGCGCCCCGCGGGCGCACGCAGAGCCGGGUCCCCGGCAGCUUCGGAGGCCGCCCCGCCGCGCCGGCCUGCAGUGCCAGCGGCCGUCGGGAAAAGAGACGCAGCUCCCCUUUCCCUCUGGGUAGCGUUUGUGUCGGGCCAGUUUGGGGAAAUGAAUUUAGUGACUGUUCGGAGACGCGGGCGGCUCACGGACGGAGCGAUUGUUCCAGCUCUGCUGAGAGGGGAGGUCCGGCCGCUCUGCGCGGCGGCCACGGCCGAAAACACUGAAAACACUGAACCCAACCCGGAGGCAGCAAGAGAGGAUCAGAGAGGGAGCUGGGAUAGGCGGGCGGAGCUGGGAAAGCAACACCUUGGAAAGGGUUAGGGCAGCUGGGAGGCCUGGCAAUACCUGUGGGGAGGGGGAGGGGCGAAGGCGGAACAGUGUCCAGUGUUAACAUGUGCAAACUUGGGAUGAAACACUGAUCUAAUUACAAACCGAGUGUCUGCUAUUUUAUGUAACCCGGGGACAUUUUAUAUGCUAAGUGUGAAAAUAUGAAAGCGUUUUAAGCUAUAAAUAGGGACUCAGAAGCAUAGAGAGACAGGGAGACAGAUGGAGAGGACAGAGACAGACAGACACAGAGAGAAAGAGCGAGACAGAAAGAGAAAGAAAAAAAAGACGGAGACUCACCAUCUGCAGGUUAUUUUGCAGCAUUUUUCUCUGAAAGAAAAAUUGUGAUGUGAUCUGUGUUUGGGGAAAAGCUAUGCUAUUCUCAGCUUUCAAGCUACAUUUGCUGUAAUAAGAAAGGAAGAAUCUCCAAGUGCACACAGGUGAGGGAAGUCACCCGCUCAUGGAAACUGGCCUCAAUACACGCGCAGAGAUGUGCACACCUAAACGCGCACACACACG
rnacentral:lncRNA from 1 species